UACGAAGGGGGCUAGCGUUGCUCGGAAUCACUGGGCGUAAAGCGCACGUAGGCGGGUUGCUAAGUCAGGGGUGAAAUCCUGGAGCUCAACUCCAGAACUGCCUUUGAUACUGAGGAUCUUGAGUUCGGGAGAGGUGAGUGGAACUGCGAGUGUAGAGGUGAAAUUCGUAGAUAUUCGCAAGAACACCAGUGGCGAAGGCGGCUCACUGGCCCGAUACUGACGCUGAGGCACGAAAGCGUGGGGAGCAAACAGG
rnacentral:rRNA from 1 species